AGCCACAUCAUGCUCAACAAUGGCACCAAGACGGACAUGCUAGGGCUAGGCACCUGGAAGUCCCCUCCAGGCCAGGUGGCCGAGGCUGUGAAGGUAGCAAUCAACACUGUAUACCGCCACAUCGACUGCAGCCACGUGCACCAGAACAAGGACCAGGAGCAGCUCAAGGAGCAGGUGGUGAGGCGUGAGUGGCUCUUCAUCAUCAGCAAGCCAUGGGGCAUAUGCCACAGGAAGUGCCUGGUGAGAGGAUCCUGCCGAAAGGUGCUCAGUGGCCUGGAGCUGGACUACCUGGACCUCCACCUUAUUCACUGGCCAACAGGCUGUCAUCCUGGGAAGGAAUUUUCCUUUUUAGAUGAAUCAGGCAAC
rnacentral:lncRNA from 1 species